rnacentral:lncRNA from 1 species
UUUUUUUAGGGCUGCACCUGCGGCAUAUGGAAGUUCCCAGGCUAGGGGUCAAAUCGGAGCUACAGCUGCCAGCCUACACCAUAGCUCAUGGCAACGCCGGAUCCUUAACUCACUGAGCGAGGCCAGGGAUCAAACCUGCAUCGUCAUGGAUACUAGUCAGGUUCGUAACCUGCUGAGCCACAAUGGAAACUCCAUCUCCCCACAUGUCUAACUUUCAAUUCCAAGAAUCCAUGAAUUCCCUUUUGAGUCUGAGCCAGUUUGAGAUGGAUUCCUAACCUUUAAAGCCAAAUGGGUCCUCACCAAAGCAUACAUGUACGACCCUUGGAGGUAAAACACUCUCACACACAGGGCUGGGUUCAUUCUUAGAGCAAUUCUGGGAGGUAGCAUUAGUAUCUCCAUCCCAUAGAGGAGGACAGCUAAAUGUAUUGCCAGGUGCCGGGCUAGGACUGAAUCCAAGCCUUUAGUCAUUCUCAUCCUGGAGGAUGAGUCCAGCCUCCUUGGACAGCUCUCCUCCAGGAACCUCUCUUUGCAGUCAUGAGCCUGACCUCUGCACACGCUUCCUUUGCCCACCAAGCAGCUGGCCCCACUUUCCUGGCUUCUCUUUCCUGGCCAUCGCACCCACCAGCCUGGGGUCCGUGCAAGCCUUCUGCUCGUGCCUUGCCUUCACUGACAUUUCAAGCAGGCAAAGCUCUUUCAGAAGGGUGAUUGUGAGUGACUCCAGGGAGACAGACAAGGCCCCUAAGACCUUUCUCCAACCUUCUGGGAGGACACAUGCCACAGAGGAGAAAUGGGAAUGUAGAGUCCCAGCCCUAUUCUUUUUAGAAGCUGUGUGACUUUGGAUACACAAUGUAAACACUUGAGCUUCAACUGCUUCAUCUGUAAAUUGGGGCUAGUAAUACAGCAGCUUCUGGUGAUGAACACGAAACAAAGUAAACUGAGUAAAAGCCAUAGCAAAAUGAGCAUUGGCACCAUAAGCCCCAUGGGCUUCCUGGGUUCUUUCCCAGUCCUGGCCACUCAGUCAUGACCAGUCUCCAGCUGCAUCCCCCUCCGUCCCAUGCAGUUUCUUGGACAUGUGCUCCCCACUCUGGGGACACUUGGCCUCUUCCUCUGGGAUCCACUCCUUCACUGAGGAAAUAUUUAUUAAAUGCCUAUUAUGUUCCAUGCUCUGUUCCAGACAGUGGGGAAUGACAGUGAACAAGACAAGAGCGUACAUCUUACAGGCAGGGACAGACUACAGCCACACAAGGGAAAUAGUUUUACAUUAUGUGCUAUGCAGAAGACAAAUGGGGGAGAUGUGACAGGGCUCGGAGGAAGGAGGAGGGCACUAAUUGGGAAGGGGAGAGCCUUAUCUACUGAAACCUAAAUGAUGAGGAAACCAAGUCAAGAACUGGUGGUUUUUGAGUGUCCCAGGCAGAGAGCACAGCAAGUGCAAAGGCCCUGUGGUGGGACCAGAUUGGAGGAAAUAAGCUGGUGUGGGUGGAGAGCUGAGUGAGGAAGUAGUCAGGCAUGAGGCUGUUGAGGCAGGCAGGGCAGAUCCUGGGACGCUUGUAAGCCUUGGGCAGGAUCUGAGCUUUAUUAUACGUGCACUGGGGAGCCACAGGAGGGAGAGGCUGGCAGGGGAGGGUCACACCCACAUUCAUUCUAGAAAGAGCAGUCUGGCAGCUGUAGGAGGAUGCGUGGCAGGGGCAGAGGGGAAGAAGGGCUGCCAGCCUGAGCCCCUGCCUUGUCCAUGCCCUUUUGGAGCUAGAGCCCUCAGUCCAGCCUACCCCCACCAAGCAGAGGGUGCAAGGGGCCCCCAGAGCUCUCUGCUCAUCUGCAGGUCCCCAUGACCAGCUCUGGACACCCUGGAAAUGAUGCACUUUGAUAAACUUAAGCAGACACUAGGGUUUCUCCACCAACCUCCCUCUUCAGCAUCUCUUUGAUGACUCAUCCACAGGGAGUAGCAAAAAAAAAAAAAAAAAAAAAAACCCAAAACCCUUCCCCACAUUGGAAAUGAUCUGAAGUUUCCUAUUACUAUCACUGACAUGGGCACGCCUCCUCAGACCCCCAGGAACUGUGCCAAAGAAAGAUCCCUUCCCACUCCUGCCAGAGACAUUAUUUCCCUUCUCAGUAGCAUCUCGGGAUCUGGAAGGUCCAGCCCCCUCUGUAUCUGUGGCUGAAGGAGGCAGCCAUGUGAGCGGCAGCCUGUGCCUGUGUGGAUGCUGUAGCCGUGUGCCCUCGGGGCCACGCGUGUGAGAGCUGAUGACCUAGGGCAGGAGGCAGGGAAGGAUCCUGAUGGAGCAGAGAGAAGCCCCAGGCUAUGGGAACCCAGCCACCACAGCUUGUCUGUUCCCAUCAGGAGAGCCAUCGGCCUCGCCGGCUAUUUCAUCUGUGUUUAUUUGUCUGUCUGCCUGUGUCUUGCUCUAUCUUCUGAUGUGUCUGUCUCUCAGCCUUCAGAUGCCCCCUCAGCUGGAGCCAGUAUUUCUAAAGACAGACACAGCCCUCAUCUUUCUCCUGGGGGCCAGCCAGGCACGCGUACUGGCCACGGGGCCUCACUGCCUCUCUGGGAGACGGUCCCCCCCAACCCCCCCGCCAUGAGAAAGAGCAAAAACAGCUCCUCGGGCUGCACAGCGCUUUACAGUUUGCAUUUCUUGGUCCCACGCGUGUGUUUAAUUUUAUCCUUGCCUUGUUCCCAAAGGAGUUCAAGACACUAGUCAGAGGACUAGUUCUUUGCAGUGACACUGCAGGGCGGGCAGGCACCAACCUAGCCCCUUGGUAGGCGAGGAAACAAGGUUCAGAGGGCCUUUGUCAAGGUCAUGGAGCCAGCAAGCAUUCGGGCUAAGGGCUAGGGCUGGGACCUGAGCCUCAGGCAUGGGGGUUGGGUUGCUCUUGGAGGAAGUUUCCAGGGCCUUUCUUCUCCCAGAGGUUUGGGCUUGCUCUACCUGGGUUGCCCUGGCCAUCUGCUCUGUCACCGUUUCAGUGGGUAGAGUGGACACCUCAUGGCUUGUUUAGGUCCCUGAUAUAAACCUCAGGUCUGCUGUUUGGAGCUCUGGGGAAGACUCUGGGGAGUAAGUUGGGAAAUCCCACAGGACGUGGGGGAGGGGAAGGGGAUUGAGAGUCUGCCUGGGGGCNNNNNNNNNNNNGGGAGGGGGGAGCAGGGGGAGCAGGGGGACCAGGGCCACUAAGAAUGUGCCUGGCUGUGUUCUGCUCUGUAGCCUGGCCACGAGGGAUUGAGGCCCUGGGGAGGGCUGGAGGGGUAGGGCAGGAGCGUGGUGGGGGAAAGAGGCACUGCCCAGAUGACAGCAGGUGACAGGAUGACUUGGAGCCCAAGCUGCUGCUGCCGCUGCAACAAAGGAGGGGAGCGAGGGGGACGACGAGGCUUGGCAACCGCUCUCCCAGCUGCUCUGGGUUUGAAGCUGAGCCACUUUGCUGGCUCCAGCACAGCGCGAACAGGUGGCAGCAAGAUUGGCACAGCCAGGAAAAUCCAUCUUGCGGAGGCCAGCGUGCAGCAGAGCGGGAGAGGAGCAGCCAGACGGAGGGGGAGGAUGGAGAGGGGUGGGAGGAGGGGUUGCAGGGAGGGGACCCUCCACUCCCCUCUACGGGCCCAGCCACCCUCAGGGGCAGGUCCUCUCCGCCCCUUCCCCACAGGUUUCUCUGUGUGCCCUGGCAGCCACCUCCGCACCCAGGCCAAGGCAAUCAGGAGCCCUCUAGAACCCUCAGGGCCCACGGGCUGGCCAGGUUUCCCACCCUAAAGGCUCUCAUAGGACACCUGCCCUCCCCUUUCGCCCUGCUGCCCACACCUCCCAGGCAGCUCACCUCUCUAGCUUCUGCCAGCUGGGCUGCCUGGCACUGGGUCACCUGAGCACCUGGAGAGGAGCGAGGCACCUGGGCCUCCCAGGUGGGCUCCCAACUCCAGGAAUAGCAAGUCAAGAUUUCUUGCCUAGUUUCUGCUCUGUCAGGAUGGGAAGCCCCCAAUAUACAUUAAGGUGUCUGGCAAUUUGACCGGUAACAGAUCCACCCCGCAAGGUCCUGACUCCUGACCAUGUGGCUCCAUCUAGCACCUCCUGAAUUCUGCCUGAGUGACGUGAUGUUUGCCUCUCAACAGUAGCGAGGCUGUGCGUGGUGCUACCUAAACUCUUGGUUGAUACCCAAAUAAACCAGGUGGCCCUGCAUUCACUCAGUCCCCAUUCAGGAGAUGGCUGUGAAGGGUCUCCUCUAGGCCAAGCACUGUUCCACAUGUGGUAGACACAGAAGGGAGGAGGGCAGACGAAGUCCAGCGCUCAUGACGCUUACAUGGUAGAGGGAGAGGUCGAACCAGCAAACAAGGCUAUUUCAUUUCAUUUCAUUUUAGGGCUUUUUAGGGCUGCACCCAUGGCAUAUGGAAGUUCCCCGGCUAGGGGUCGAAUUGGAGCUGUAGCUGCUGGCCUAUUUCACAGUCACAGCAACGUGGGAUCCAAGCCAGGUCCGUGACCUACACCACAGCUCAUGGCAAAGCCAGAUCCUUAACCCAUUGAGCGAAGCCAGGGAUCGGACCCACAUCCUCAUAGAUACUCCUUGGGUUCAUUACUGCUGACACAAGAUGGGAACGCCAAACAAGGUAAUUUUAGAUGGUGAUAGGUGUAUGUAGAGAUAGAGUGAUGUCAAAAUGAACUGGAGAGGUGGCCUUCUAGAUGGGGUGGCCAGGGAGGGCUUGUCUGAGGAGGUGGCAUUUGGGCUGAGAUCUGAAUGAGGAACCAAUCAUGGAAAGGGCCAGGGAAGGGUUUCUGGCAGAAGGAACUGUGUGUGCAAAGGCCCUGCGGCAGAAUGACCUUUACCUGUUUGAGGAAUAGAAGUAAGACCAGCGAUGUUGGGAAUAGUUAGGUCCUGGAUCAUGCAGGACCUGAAGGCCAUGAGGAAGGGCUGAACUUUUAUCCUAGGAGAGAUAAAAAGCCUUUAGGGGAGAGAUCCAUCUAAUGGCUAUAGGGAAGACAGACUGGAUCAGGUUAGUAUGAGGAGAAAAGUAUCAGGCGACCAGGCAGUGGCAGCUGCUGUUGGUCAGGUGAGGGGGAACUGCUGGGCUAGAGUGGAAGUAGGGAGGAGGUGAGAAGCAGCUGGAUUGAGGUGUGCUUUUGAGGCUGAGCCUACAGGACCACUAUGGAGGUAGAUAUAGAAGAAUUAAAGCUAGGUUUGGAGUUGAGCUGGAAGGAGGAGCACUUCCUGAGCUGAGGAGUACUGGGGAUUCCCAGGAAGUAAUGGAGAGGACACAGAGGACACGCUUUCUCUUCUUCCAAAAGCACAACCUGGGGAGUUCCCUGGUAGCCCAGGAGGUUAAGGACCAGCAUUGUUACUGCUGUGGUUCUAGUCACUGCCACGGCGUGGAUCUGAUCCAUGGCCCAGGAAUAUCCACGUGCCAUGGGUGCAGCUUAAAAAAAAAAAAAAAAAAAAAAAAAAA